GGCUGUAAUAUCUUUAGAGUUUGCAUGCUCUCCUUGUGUUCGCAUGGGUUCCCGCCAGGUGCUCCGCCUUCCUCCCACUUCCAAAGAUAUUCUGACGAGGUGAAUUAAUGACU